rnacentral:rRNA from 1 species
AUUGAACGCUGGCGGCAGGCCUAACACAUGCAAGUCGAGCGAGAAAGGUCUUCGGACUGAGUACAGCGGCGGACGGGUGAGUAAAGCGUAGGAAUCUACCUGGUAGUGGGGGAUAACUUGGGGAAACUCAAACUAAUACCGCAUACGCCCUACGGGGAAAGGACGGGGACCGUUCGGGCCGUCGCGCUAUCAGAUGAGCCUGCGUAGGAUUAGCUAGUUGGUGAGGUAAAGGACUCACCAAGGCGACGAUCCUUAGCUGGUCUGAGAGGAUGAUCAGCCACACUGGGACUGAGACACGGCCCAGACUCCUACGGGAGGCAGCAGUGGGGAAGUAUUGCGCAAUGGGCGAAAGCCUGACGCAGCCAUGCCGCGUGUGUGAAGAAGGCCUUA